GAGAGUCGUGUGGAAUACGUCUCCGUUGAGCCGCGAGAUAAGGAUACAAUAACCCUACAGCUAAAAGUAAAUCUUGUUCGUGUAAAAGUCUCCAAAGCUUUACAAAUAUAUACUUACGUGUAAUUGCGUGCUAGGUUGAUGACUGUUGCCGUGUAUUUGGGUGUAAAUAUACAUACGUGUAUACAUCGUGUACAGCAGAAGAAGUGAAAAAAGACGAGGACGAAAACGUCGAGGUCCAAG